ACGGAAGGCAGCAGUGGGGAAUAUUGCACAAUGGGGGAAACCCUGAUGCAGCGACGCCGCGUGAGUGAAGAAGUUAUUCGUAAUGUAAAGCUCUAUCAGCAGGGAAGAAAAUGACGGUACCUGACUAAGAAGCCCCGGCUAACUACGUGCCAGCAGCCGCGGUAAUACGUAGGGGGCAAGCGUUAUCCGGAUUUACUGGGUGUAAAGGGAGCGUAGACGGUCUAGCAAGUCUGAUGUGAAAGGCAGGGGCUCAACUCCUGGACUGCAUUGGAAACUGUUAGUCUUGAGUGUCGGAGAGGUAAGCGGAAUUCCUAGUGUAGCGGUGAAAUGCGUAGAUAUUAGGAGGAACACCAGUGGCGAAGGCGGCUUACUGGACGAUAACUGACGUUGAGGCUCGAAAGCGUGGGGAGCGAACAGGAUUAGAUACCCUGGUA
rnacentral:rRNA from 1 species